rnacentral:tRNA from 1 species
GGCCGGUUGGCUCAGACGGUAGAGCGCUGGACUAUUAAUCCUGAGGUCGAAAGUUCAAGUCCCUCAACGGUCG